AUGAAGAGAAACCUCCUCAUCAUCCUCAUCAUCACAUCAGGUGUGUUUGGUGCUGAUGAAAUCAGACCAUCAAAAGAUCAGGAGACUGAUGUUUCUGGAAAAGAAGGAGAACCUGUUACGCUGAAAUGCUCUUAUGAAUCAAAUAGUCAAUAUGUCUAUCUCUACUGGUACAGACAGUAUCCUAACAGAGCUCUACAGUAUUUACUGCUGAGAGGUGCUCGUCAGCAGAGUGGCAGUAAUAUUGCCGACAACAGAUUUUCAUCAACUACAUCCAGCUCUUCCACUGAGCUCACUCUUAGAGAACCAAGACUGGCAGAUACAGCUCUCUACUACUGUGCUCUUAGAGAGCCCAGUGAUACAAAGUCUCUGAGAUGCUUUACAAAAAAGGCCAGUGAAGAAUAUGACACUGCUGUAAAAUUCAUUGACCACACCCUAACAGUGGAGUGA